UGCAGGAUGACCGAGAAUAGGUAGAAGAUUGUAGCUCUUCGUACGGAGGAUUCCUUCUCCUGUA
rnacentral:tRNA from 1 species